rnacentral:rRNA from 1 species
GCAACUCUCGGCGGCGGAUCACUCGGCUCGCGAGUCGAUGAAGAACGCAGCG